UCUAAUGUGGCAGAAUAGUGCAAUGAAUUUAAGCUUCAUUUAUAAAGUUAAAACUUUUUUUAGAA
rnacentral:tRNA from 1 species